GAGUCAAAUUGAAUUGUCAAAGUUUGAGGGGCAGAGCAGACAAAUCGCUAUUCUCAGAACAGGCAAACUGUCACCGCCCCGCACGCGCAGGCAUUCGGUUUCCUGUAACUAAACUUCCCAUCUUAUCUAUUUUCGAGAGGCUGCUCAGCUGCAGGAGAUUUUCGCUUAACAGGUGAAGUGCGGCAUACACACAGUUACUUUGAAGAUCAAUAAUAUUUGGAAUCAUUGCGAUGUAAAAGCCCUGAUGGAAAGAACAGCGCAAAACCUGAAAAGUAAACUGGAGGCAAUGGGCUUCCUUGCCGUUGAAGAAUUUUGGUUGACGAAUCAACCCAUUGCGGUUAUUUGUCAAUUAAAGCGAGAACUUGGAGUGGCAUCGCUGAGACUCCUGCUAUAUUGUACGGAGUUCCUACGUGUUACGUGCUACGGUAGCAGAGAAGACCCUCCGCGGCUCGAGCUUGUACAUAAAACCUGCUGUUUCAUCAGACAGUUAAAUGCCCACAACUGGAAUCUGACCUUCACAGAGUCAGGUCUUCCCCUGUUGGUUGACAUCCCACCAAAUUCUGUGCAACGGUCCAGGACUGGUGAAAGGAGGAGAGGUGUGAGAGAAGGCCAAGAAACCGACGAAAACAAGGAAUCAAUGGACUGAUUUGUGAUUUGAAUUUUACAUGUUUUUCAAUAAAUAGAAGCAUAGAUAAAUGUGGUGCAACUUACCAAUUUUA